rnacentral:rRNA from 1 species
GGGUUGUGAGGUUAAGCGACUAAGCGUACACGGUGGAUGCCCUGGCAGUCAGAGGCGAUGAAGGACGUGCUAAUCUGCGAUAAGCGUCGGUAAGGUGAUAUGAACCGUUAUAACCGGCGAUUUCCGAAUGGGGAAACCCAGUGUGAUUCGUCACACUAUCAUUAACUGAAUCCAUAGGUUAAUGAGGCGAACCGGGGGAACUGAAACAUCUAAGUACCCCGAGGAAAAGAAAUCAACCGAGAUUCCCCCAGUAGCGGCGAGCGAACGGGGAGCAGCCCAGAGCCUGAAUCAGUGUGUGUGUUAGUGGAAGCGUCUGGAAAGGCGCGCGAUACAGGGUGACAGCCCCGUACACAAAAAUGCACAUACUGUGAGCUCGAUGAGUAGGGCGGGACACGUGGUAUCCUGUCUGAAUAUGGGGGGACCAUCCUCCAAGGCUAAAUACUCCUGACUGACCGAUAGUGAACCAGUACCGUGAGGGAAAGGCGAAAAGAACCCCGGCGAGGGGAGUGAAAAAGAACCUGAAACCGUGUACGUACAAGCAGUGGGAGCCUCUUUUAUGGGGUGACUGCGUACCUUUUGUAUAAUGGGUCAGCGACUUAUAUUCUGUAGCAAGGUUAACCGAAUAGGGGAGCCGAAGGGAAACCGAGUCUUAACCGGGCGUUAAGUUGCAGGGUAUAGACCCGAAACCCGGUGAUCUAGCCAUGGGCAGGUUGAAGGUUGGGUAACACUAACUGGAGGACCGAACCGACUAAUGUUGAAAAAUUAGCGGAUGACUUGUGGCUGGGGGUGAAAGGCCAAUCAAACCGGGAGAUAGCUGGUUCUCCCCGAAAGCUAUUUAGGUAGCGCCUCGUGAAUUCAUCUCCGGGGGUAGAGCACUGUUUCGGCAAGGGGGUCAUCCCGACUUACCAACCCGAUGCAAACUGCGAAUACCGGAGAAUGUUAUCACGGGAGACACACGGCGGGUGCUAACGUCCGUCGUGAAGAGGGAAACAACCCAGACCGCCAGCUAAGGUCCCAAAGUCAUGGUUAAGUGGGAAACGAUGUGGGAAGGCCCAGACAGCCAGGAUGUUGGCUUAGAAGCAGCCAUCAUUUAAAGAAAGCGUAAUAGCUCACUGGUCGAGUCGGCCUGCGCGGAAGAUGUAACGGGGCUAAACCAUGCACCGAAGCUGCGGCAGCGACACUGUGUGUUGUUGGGUAGGGGAGCGUUCUGUAAGCCUGUGAAGGUGUACUGUAAGGUAUGCUGGAGGUAUCAGAAGUGCGAAUGCUGACAUAAGUAACGAUAAAGCGGGUGAAAAGCCCGCUCGCCGGAAGACCAAGGGUUCCUGUCCAACGUUAAUCGGGGCAGGGUGAGUCGACCCCUAAGGCGAGGCCGAAAGGCGUAGUCGAUGGGAAACAGGUUAAUAUUCCUGUACUUGGUGUUACUGCGAAGGGGGACGGAGAAGGCUAUGUUGGCCGGGCGACGGUUGUCCCGGUUUAAGCGUGUAGGCUGGUUUUCCAGGCAAAUCCGGAAAAUCAAGGCUGAGGCGUGAUGACGAGGCACUACGGUGCUGAAGCAACAAAUGCCCUGCUUCCAGGAAAAGCCUCUAAGCAUCAGGUAACAUCAAAUCGUACCCCAAACCGACACAGGUGGUCAGGUAGAGAAUACCAAGGCGCUUGAGAGAACUCGGGUGAAGGAACUAGGCAAAAUGGUGCCGUAACUUCGGGAGAAGGCACGCUGAUAUGUAGGUGAAGUCCCUCGCGGAUGGAGCUGAAAUCAGUCGAAGAUACCAGCUGGCUGCAACUGUUUAUUAAAAACACAGCACUGUGCAAACACGAAAGUGGACGUAUACGGUGUGACGCCUGCCCGGUGCCGGAAGGUUAAUUGAUGGGGUCAGCGCAAGCGAAGCUCUUGAUCGAAGCCCCGGUAAACGGCGGCCGUAACUAUAACGGUCCUAAGGUAGCGAAAUUCCUUGUCGGGUAAGUUCCGACCUGCACGAAUGGCGUAAUGAUGGCCAGGCUGUCUCCACCCGAGACUCAGUGAAAUUGAACUCGCUGUGAAGAUGCAGUGUACCCGCGGCAAGACGGAAAGACCCCGUGAACCUUUACUAUAGCUUGACACUGAACAUUGAGCCUUGAUGUGUAGGAUAGGUGGGAGGCUUUGAAGUGUGGACGCCAGUCUGCAUGGAGCCGACCUUGAAAUACCACCCUUUAAUGUUUGAUGUUCUAACGUGGACCCGUGAUCCGGGUUGCGGACAGUGUCUGGUGGGUAGUUUGACUGGGGCGGUCUCCUCCUAAAGAGUAACGGAGGAGCACGAAGGUUGGCUAAUCCUGGUCGGACAUCAGGAGGUUAGUGCAAUGGCAUAAGCCAGCUUGACUGCGAGCGUGACGGCGCGAGCAGGUGCGAAAGCAGGUCAUAGUGAUCCGGUGGUUCUGAAUGGAAGGGCCAUCGCUCAACGGAUAAAAGGUACUCCGGGGAUAACAGGCUGAUACCGCCCAAGAGUUCAUAUCGACGGCGGUGUUUGGCACCUCGAUGUCGGCUCAUCACAUCCUGGGGCUGAAGUAGGUCCCAAGGGUAUGGCUGUUCGCCAUUUAAAGUGGUACGCGAGCUGGGUUUAGAACGUCGUGAGACAGUUCGGUCCCUAUCUGCCGUGGGCGCUGGAGAACUGAGGGGGGCUGCUCCUAGUACGAGAGGACCGGAGUGGACGCAUCACUGGUGUUCGGGUUGUCAUGCCAAUGGCACUGCCCGGUAGCUAAAUGCGGAAGAGAUAAGUGCUGAAAGCAUCUAAGCACGAAACUUGCCCCGAGAUGAGUUCUCCCUGACCCUUUAAGGGUCCUGAAGGAACGUUGAAGACGACGACGUUGAUAGGCCGGGUGUGUAAGCGCAGCGAUGCGUUGAGCUAACCGGUACUAAUGAACCGUGAGGCUUAACCUUACAACGCCGAAGGUGUUU